AAAUUACACUUGGGAUGUUUUUUUUCAGAAGAUCACAAAGGUUUUAGAUGCAGAUCCACAAUAGUUAAAAGGCACAAUAUAAAUGUAUAUGUCUUGUAAAAUAUAUAAAAAUAAUAUUGGAACUAUAAUAUCGCAUUACAUUUAGCCAGUAGAAGAAGAAGACAUCGCAGGGGAAAGUACAGGAACGUUUUGCAAACAGCGACCGAGAGAAAUGUCCAUUCACGGUUUAAGAUGCAAGUUUUGUUCCAGCCACACAGAGACUACGAGAGGGAAGAUAAUUACCGCGACACACCUCCCUUUACCAUGCGGCCACAACAAUAGGUAGUCAGCCCCUCCCCCGGGUCUGUGCUGCUGACCGGUCUGCUCCGCUGGAGUGAGCCGCCCACGUGCCCUGCAGUGCUCUGUGCUGUUGUUGAAGUGAUCUGCGCAUGUGUCCUCCAGUCCUGCCCUGAAGUUCUUCUCUGCUGUUUUUGAAGCAGGAUGAACAAGAAAGAAAUGCCGGAAAAGAAAACGUAACAGAUUCCAACCCAGAAAGUGAAUGUCUGAGAGAACACCCCUCAACGGAAUGAGCAAUCUAAUCCAGACCAGGUCUGAGAGCUUCAGACUCUUUGAAACCUCAGUGGAGAGAGACUUCACCAUAGCCCAUCUUCACCAUCAGGCCAGCAGGAGCUCUUCCCUGGGUGUGGUGUGUUCGUGUCAUCGUUCGGCCCUGCUGCCAUGAACCACGCAUCGAAACCACAUCGCAUGCAUCAGUUUCAUGCACUGUCCAAUCAUGUCCUCACUGUUGGAGUAUCAAAAUCCCUUUUGGUCUUCCUGGAAAUAAUCCCUCCGGAAAAGAAGGAAAGCGGAUCCGUUGACGCAAUCCUAACUUAUGUCCUGAGAUGUGCCACUCCACCUGGUUGGGAAAAAUUGUGGAGGUCAAGCUCAAGAACGCGUUUGUCAGCAAAUGUACGGCCAGAGCAGGUUCUAAGCAGUAGGUCACUGCUAUGAUCUACAGUAUGGAGUGGUUACUCUUUCAUCCUUUAUUUAUUUAUUUUUUUCUUUUUAAUUUUCGUGGACCAUGAGUUUUAAUACAGUUCCUGCCAAGUGUGUUCUAGGAUUUGGAAGCAUGUAAGUUCUGUUGUUUCAAAGCCAAGUGAGAUUCCUCCUUGUACCUCAGCAGUGCUGUCAGUGUGUUUGUUCUUUAGAAUCUAGAAGUAUUCAUUAUCACCACGUCGGCCACAUUGAGUACGCCACAGUUCAUGUACUUAAUGCAAUUACAUAAAAAAAAGUUUGCACUGGUUGAAAUAGAUCUCCCGGUAUAAUACGACACAAUUUUGUGAAUGUAUUUCUGGUUUUACCCAAAAUAGUUCAUUAAGAAGCCAGGUGGUUUUAACUCGUGUGCUAUCCUGGACAUGUUUACAUUAAAAGUGGGGUCAUCUGUUUUUUAUCCCAAGGAUUUUUAAUCUUGUCUGGUGUCCGUGGCAGACAUAAGAUCCUGUUCACAUUUAUUAUGGGAGAGAUCACACAUCAAUGUAAUGGUAGGGUCAUCUUGACCCUAUAAGAGAGCACAAGGAUUAAAGUACUUUAAAGUUAUUAAAAAAAAUAAUAAUUUAGUUAAAACCGACUUUUCAACAAGGGGUUAGUAAACAAUGUCAGAGCUUGUAUUUAAUUUAUUUUUGUGUCUCAUUUAUGUUUUAUAUUUCUGUAUUUUGUUUAAAAAGUCUGUUAUCCCAAUACAAAUGUUGUAUGGUGCUGACCAAAUCCCAAAUAAAAUGUAACAUUUACA